CACCUACAGGUUGCAUAACACAUAUGAGUGUAAGAUAACUUAACUGAUUUGGUGAAUGGGUGAGUGUGUGCUCACGCUAAGAACCUGUUAUUCCAUGCAGAAACAUUCCACCUAUCGUUCGAAUACCAGCCUUCGACGGUAUCAGAUCUACCAAACGUUAUUCCAUCACGGUUCAUCGUUUUUUCCCAGCCAUGUUACAUCUGCCUUUCCUCUUCUUUGGAAUCGUAUCCUUCCAUUCGGUGCUAACAGCAGAACCAUGUUCCCCAACAAGUAAAACAGCGUGCUGCAUCCAUGGAUCGCCCUAUACUGACGGGAACGGAGAGCAGUUGUUUUGUGGCCGUGGCCCCAAUUCAAGGAGAUGCCCAAAGGACUACUCUUGCUUUACAAACGCGGUAGACUUGUGGGCAGUAUGUUGUUCUGCCAAGAAAGUAACACCAGAACCAUGUUCCCCAACAAG